rnacentral:rRNA from 1 species
CCUACGGGAGGCAGCAGUGAGGAAUAUUGGUCAAUGGACGAGAGUCUGAACCAGCCAAGUAGCGUGAAGGAUGACUGCCCUAUGGGUUGUAAACUUCUUUUAUAUGGGAAUAAAAUGUUCCACGUGUGGGAUUUUGUAUGUACCAUAUGAAUAAGGAUCGGCUAACUCCGUACCAGCAGCCGCGGUAAUACGGAGGAUCCGAGCGUUAUCCGGAUUUAUUGGGUUUAAAGGGAGCGUAGGUGGAUUGUUAAGUCAGGUGUGAAAGUUUGCGGCUCAACCGUAGAAUUGCAGUUGAAACUGGCAGGCUUGAGUACAGUAGAGGUGGGCGGAAUUCGUGGUGUAGCGGUGAAAUGCUUAGAUAUCACGAAGAACUCCGAUUGCGAAGGCAGCUCACUGGACUGCAACUGACACUGAGGCUCGAAAGUGUGGGUAUCAAACAGGAUUAGAUACCCGAGUAGUC